UACAGAGGUCCCGAGCGUUGUUCGGAUUCACUGGGCGUAAAGGGUGCGUAGGCGGUCGGUUAAGUCUGAUGUGAAAUCUCACAGCUUAACUGUGAAACUGCAUUGGAUACUAUCCGGCUAGAGGAAUGGAGGGGAGACUGGAAUACUUGGUGUAGCAGUGAAAUGCGUAGAUAUCAAGUGGAACACCAGUGGCGAAGGCGAGUCUCUGGACAUUUCCUGACGCUGAGGCACGAAAGCCAGGGGAGCAAACGGG
rnacentral:rRNA from 1 species